rnacentral:rRNA from 1 species
CUAAUACAUGCAAGUCGAACGCUUCUUUUCCACCGGAGCUUGCUCCACCGGAAAAAGAGGAGUGGCGAACGGGUGAGUAACACGUGGGUAACCUGCCCAUCAGAAGGGGAUAACACUUGGAAACAGGUGCUAAUACCGUAUAACAAUCGAAACCGCAUGGUUUUGAUUUGAAAGGCGCUUUCGGGUGUCGCUGAUGGAUGGACCCGCGGUGCAUUAGCUAGUUGGUGAGGUAACGGCUCACCAAGGCCACGAUGCAUAGCCGACCUGAGAGGGUGAUCGGCCACAUUGGGACUGAGACACGGCCCAAACUCCUACGGGAGGCAGCAGUAGGGAAUCUUCGGCAAUGGACGAAAGUCUGACCGAGCAACGCCGCGUGAGUGAAGAAGGUUUUCGGAUCGUAAAACUCUGUUGUUAGAGAAGAACAAGGAUGAGAGUAACUGUUCAUCCCUUGACGGUAUCUAACCAGAAAGCCACGGCUAACUACGUGCCAGCAGCCGCGGUAAUACGUAGGUGGCAAGCGUUGUCCGGAUUUAUUGGGCGUAAAGCGAGCGCAGGCGGUUUCUUAAGUCUGAUGUGAAAGCCCCCGGCUCAACCGGGGAGGGUCAUUGGAAACUGGGAGACUUGAGUGCAGAAGAGGAGAGUGGAAUUCCAUGUGUAGCGGUGAAAUGCGUAGAUAUACGGAGGACACCAGUGGCGAAGGCGGCUCUC